UACGUAGGUGGCAAGCGUUGUCCGGAUUUAUUGGGUUUAAAGGGUGCGUAGGCGGCCCUGUAAGUCAGUGGUGAAAUACGGCAGCUCAACUGUCGAGGUGCCAUUGAUACUGCGGGGCUUGAGUGUUGAUGAGGCAGGCGGAAUUGACGGUGUAGCGGUGAAAUGCUUAGAGAUCGGAAAGAACACCAACGGCGAAAGCACUCUGCUGGGCCGACACUGACACUGAGAGACGAAAGCUAGGGGAGCGAAUGGG
rnacentral:rRNA from 1 species